GCCUGGGUGGCUCAGUCGGUUGAGCGUCUGACUUCAGCUCAGGUCACGAUCUCACGGUCCGUGAGUUCGAGCCCCGCGUCAGGCU
rnacentral:tRNA from 1 species